rnacentral:rRNA from 1 species
AUACGUAGGGGGCAAGCGUUGUCCGGAAUUGUUGGGCGUAAAGGGUGCGUAGGCGGCCUUUUAAGUCAGAUGUGAAAUAUUAGGGCUCAACCAUAAUCGUGCAUUUGAAACUGGAGGGCUUGAGUAUCGGAGAGGGUAGUGGAAUUCCCAGUGUAGCGGUGGAAUGCGUAGAUAUUGGGAGGAACACCAGUGGCGAAGGCGACUACCUGGACGAAAACUGACGCUGAGGCACGAAAGCUAGGGGAGCAAACAGGAUUAGAUACCCUGGUAGUCCUAGCCGUAAACGAUGGGUACUAGGUGUAGGAGGUUUCGAUACCUUCUGUGCCGCAGUUAACGCAAUAAGUACCCCGCCUGGGGAGUACGUGCGCAAGCAUGAA